AUGCAAAUGUAUUUUUGCUGCAUAAAAUUCUAUUCAUAAACAGUUUUUAGCUCAACUGUUGUGUUUUUUCACUGACACGUAAAAUUUAAGCAGAACAGCAAAAUGAAU